UUCUAGAAUGGAGACAGAAUGGGCCUGAGACAUAUUUCACAAAGAGGGGAGGUAUGCAAAGGGCCUGACGCAGGCAGAGUCUGGGGAAGGAGGCAGGGCAGUGUGGGACGCCCUGCAGGGCAGCCACAAGGAUGAGAAGAGAGGGUUUCUGAAGGUCCUUCACAUUUUUGCAUCUGGGUCACAUACCUCCAGCUUCUUCCGAAUUUUCAUCGUUACCCCCAGAUCAAGUAUCACCUCCUCUGGGAAGCCGCCUCUGGUUGACACAUCUCUAUUCCAUAUCAAGGUGAGCACCUUGCAGAUGAGGACUGAGGCUUAUUCCUCUCAGCUGAGGCCUGGACUAAGCAUGCACAGAAGAUCUUGGUUGAUUGGCUGAAUGAAUGAAUGGUUGGAUGAAUGGGCCCUUGCACAGAAGGCAGAGCCAUGAAGUCAUUGCAGCCAUUCCUGCCUCUUUCACACAAAGUCCACCCACUCGGCCUCACCACAGCCUUGUUGGUGAGCAGCCGCCUGCCCAGCUAGCAGGAUCGGGUACCAGGCUGGGGUGGAGAGUGUUGAUGUGGUACUUUAAACAUCACAACCAUCAGUUGAAAAUGUAGUUAGUGACUAAUAAAAUAAAGAGGCCAGACCUAUU